rnacentral:rRNA from 1 species
UACAGAGGUCCCAAGCGUUGUUCGGAUUCACUGGGCGUAAAGGGUGCGUAGGUGGCCAGGUAAGUUUGGUGUGAAAGCUCGGAGCUUAACUCCGAAAAGUCAUUGAAUACUAUCUGGCUGGAGGGUCGGAGGGGAGACUGGAAUUCUCGGUGUAGUGGUGAAAUGCGUAGAUAUCGAGAGGAACACCAGCGGCGAAGGCGGCUCACUGGGCUCCACCUGACGCUGAGGCGCGAAAGCGUGGGGAGCAAACCGG